rnacentral:snoRNA from 20 species
GUUUCAUGAUGAAACAAAUAUUUUCAGUUCUGCUUCUGCAAAUUCCUUGAAGAUAACAAAUACCUUACCAAAAACGUUUCCUGAUAC